rnacentral:lncRNA from 1 species
GCUGGCUGGCUCCUGACUGGUCCUGUGUCCUUGGGAAGGUGGGUCCCAAGGGCGUCUGCUAGGCUGGGGCUUCAGGCCUGUAAAAGCCGCCGAGGCUACGGCCUGGCCCAGGCCUCCCACCGUGGCUUGAUCUCUUCAGAAGAGCUCCCACCGGCACCCAGGGUAGAGGGGACUCCCCGCCCAGGGGAUGUUCCAGAGGACAUCCUUGGUGUGCAGGGCUGGAUGUACCAAGUGACCAGUGAGUGCCCUUGGCAAGCUGGAGGUCCUGCUGGCUGCACCCUAGUCGCACAGGAGCCCCGUCGGCACCACAGACGUCUGGAAACCCUUCAAGGCCCAGAUCAAGCUCCUGGCAUUUGGAAGUCCAGCUGCCCCAGGAGGGCUGGGCAGUGGGUCCCAGGAGGGCCAGGUGGUGGAUCCCAAGAGCAGGAACUGAGGUGACGGGGGUUUUACGAGCAGCAUGGGCCUCGGGCAGGCUCGGGGGUCGCUGUCGCCGGCCCUCCCCUGGCCUGCUGGGGUCAGAUGGGAGGCCAGCAAGCCCUCCACAACGCAGGUCAGACCCUGCCGGCUUGGGAGCAGGAGCCUGGGAGCCCAGGAGAGGUCCAGCAGGCCAUCCCUCCACAGCCCCUGCCUGCAGCCAGUCAGAGGGACCCAUGAGAAUCCCUGGGCUCAUUCUUGCUCCAGCGCCUGGCCAUACCCUCAGGUGAUCAUCGCUGUCCCCCCAGGGGGCUUGGCUCGGGGGCUUGGCUCGGGGGCCCUGCCGUGGACAGCUUUCCUGCCAGUUUCAGGGGGAGAACUCCGACGUGCUGAGGAUGACGGUGGCGAGAGAGCUGUGGGCAGCAGAGAGUGCGUCCUGGCUGUGGCUGGGUGUGCUUGAGGGACCAGGGGCCAGGUCCAUCCUGCAGGGGCUGCACA